AUUGAACGCUGGCGGCAGGCCUAACACAUGCAAGUCGAACGAGUGGCGGACGGGUGAUUCAUGUCUGGGAAACUGCCCGAUGGAGUGGGAUAACUACUGGAAACGGUAGCUAAUACCGCAUACCAUCGGAUGUGCCCAGAUGGGAUUAGCUUGUAGGUGAGGUAACGGCUCACCUAGGCGACGAUCCCUAGCUGGUCUGAGAGGAUGACCAGCCACACUGUAACUGAGAAACGGCCCAGAAGCCGACGGGAGGCAGCAGGGGGGAAUAUUGCACAAGGGGCGCAAGCCUGAUGCAGCCAUGCCGCGUGUAUGAAGAAGGCCUUCGGGUUGUAAAGUACUUUCAGCGGGGAGGCGUUACCCGCAGAAGAAGCACCGGCUAACUCCGUGCCAGUAGCCGCGGUAAUUC
rnacentral:rRNA from 1 species